rnacentral:rRNA from 1 species
GACGAACGCUGGCGGCGUGCUUAACACAUGCAAGUCGAACGGAAAGGCCUCUUUCGGGGGGUACUCGAGUGGCGAACGGGUGAGUAACACGUGAGUAACCUGCGCUUUACUCUUGGAUAACUUCAGGAAACUGGGGCGAAUACCGGAGAGGGGCUCCUGCUGCGUGGUGGGGGGUGGGGAGUUUCGGCGGUUGGGGAUGGAGUCGCGGCUUAUCAGCUUGUUGGUGGGGGAGUGGGUUAUCAAGGCUUUUUGGGGGAGCCGGGCUGGGAGGGUGACCGGGCAAAAUGGGACUGGGAUACGGGCCAGACUCCUAACGGAGGCAGGAGUGGGGAAUAAUGCACAAUGGGUCGAAGCCUGAUGCAGCAAAGCCGUGUGCGGGGUGACCGGCCUCGGGUUGUAAACCGCCUUCGGCCAGGACGAAGCUUUGUGUGACGGUAGUGGGUAAAGAAGCACCGGCUAACUACGUG